CCGAAUGGGGAAACCCAGUGUGAUUCGUCACACUAUCAUUAACUGAAUCCAUAGGUUAAUGAGGCGAACCGGGGGAACUGAAACAUCUAAGUACCCCGAGGAAAAGAAAUCAACCGAGAUUCCCCCAGUAGCGGCGAGCGAACGGGGAGGAGCCCAGAGCCUGAAUCAGCAUGUGUGUUAGUGGAAGCGUCUGGAAAGGCGCGCGAUACAGGGUGACAGCCCCGUACACAAAAGCGCAUGUGCUGUGAGCUCGAUGAGUAGGGCGGGACACGUGGUAUCCUGUCUGAAUAUGGGGGGACCAUCCUCCAAGGCUAAAUACUCCUGACUGACCGAUAGUGAACCAGUACCGUGAGGGAAAGGCGAAAAGAACCCCGGCGAGGGGAGUGAAAAAGAACCUGAAACCGUGUACGUACAAGCAGUGGGAGCNNNNNNNNNNNNNNNNNNNNNNNNNNGGGCGUUAAGUUGCAGGGUAUAGACCCGAAACCCGGUGAUCUAGCCAUGGGCAGGUUGAAGGUUGGGUAACACUAACUGGAGGACCGAACCGACUAAUGUUGAAAAAUUAGCGGAUGACCUGUGGCUGGGGGUGAAAGGCCAAUCAAACCGGGAGAUAGCUGGUUCUCCCCGAAAGCUAUUUAGGUAGCGCCUCGUGAAUUCAUCUCCGGGGGUAGAGCACUGUUUCGGCUAGGGGGCCAUCCCGGCUUACCAACCCGAUGCAAACUGCGAAUACCGGAGAAUGUUAUCACGGGAGACACACGGCGGGUGCUAACGUCCGUCGUGAAGAGGGAAACAACCCAGACCGCCAGCUAAGGUCCCAAAGUCAUGGUUAAGUGGGAAACGAUGUGGGAAGGCCCAGACAGCCAGGAUGUUGGCUUAGAAGCAGCCAUCAUUUAAAGAAAGCGUAAUAGCUCACUGGUCGAGUCGGCCUGCGCGGAAGAUGUAACGGGGCUAAACCAUGCACCGAAGCUGCGGCAGCGANNNNNNNNNNNNNNNNNNNNNNNNNNNNNNUGCUGGAGGUAUCAGAAGUGCGAAUGCUGACAUAAGUAACGAUAAAGCGGGUGAAAAGCCCGCUCGCCGGAAGACCAAGGGUUCCUGUCCAACGUUAAUCGGGGCAGGGUGAGUCGACCCCUAAGGCGAGGCCGAAAGGCGUAGUCGAUGGGAAACGGGUUAAUAUUCCCGUACUUGGUGUUACUGCGAAGGGGGGACGGAGAAGGCUAUGUUGGCCGGGCGACGGUUGUCCCGGUUUAAGCGUGUAGGUGUGUGUUCCAGGUAAAUCCGGUUCACUUUAACACUGAGGCGUGACGACGAGGCACUACGGUGCUGAAGCAACAAAUGCCCUGCUUCCAGGAAAAGCCUCUAAGCAUCAGGUAACANNNNNNNNNNNNNNNNNNNNNNNNNNNNNNNNNNNNNNNNNNNNGGAGCUGAAGUCAGUCGAAGAUACCAGCUGGCUGCAACUGUUUAUUAAAAACACAGCACUGUGCAAACACGAAAGUGGACGUAUACGGUGUGACGCCUGCCCGGUGCCGGAAGGUUAAUUGAUGGGGUCAGCGCAAGCGAAGCUCCUGAUCGAAGCCCCGGUAAACGGCGGCCGUAACUAUAACGGUCCUAAGGUAGCGAAAUUCCUUGUCGGGUAAGUUCCGACCUGCACGAAUGGCGUAAUGAUGGCCAGGCUGUCUCCACCCGAGACUCAGUGAAAUUGAACUCGCUGUGAAGAUGCAGUGUACCCGCGGCAAGACGGAAAGACCCCGUGAACCUUUACUAUAGCUUGACACUGAACAUUGAGCCUUGAUGUGUAGGAUAGGUGGGAGGCUUUGAAGUGUGGACGCCAGUCUGCAUGGAGCCGACCUUGAAAUACCACCCUUUAAUGUUUGAUGUUCUAACGUGGACCCGUAAUCCGGGUUGCGGACAGUGUCUGGUGGGUAGUUUGACUGGGGCGGUCUCCUCCUAAAGAGUAACGGAGGAGCACGAAGGUUGGCUAAUCCUGGUCGGACAUCAGGAGGUUAGUGCAAUGGCAUAAGCCAGCUUGACUGCGAGCGUGACGGCGCGAGCAGGUGCGAAAGCAGGUCAUAGUGAUCCGGUGGUUCUGAAUGGAAGGGCCAUCGCUCAACGGAUAAAAGGUACUCCGGGGAUAACAGGCUGAUACCGCCCAAGAGUUCAUAUCGACGGCGGUGUUUGGCACCUCGAUGUCGGCUCAUCACAUCCUGGGGCUGAAGUAGGUCCCAAGGGUAUGGCUGUUCGCCAUUUAAAGUGGUACGCGAGCUGGGUUUAGAACGUCGUGAGACAGUUCGGUCCCUAUCUGCCGUGGGCGCUGGAGAACUGAGGGGGGCUGCUCCUAGUACGAGAGGACCGGAGUGGACGCAUCACUGGUGUUCGGGUUGUCAUGCCAAUGGCACUGCCCGGUAGCUAAAUGCGGAAGAGAUAAGUGCUGAAAGCAUCUAAGCACGAAACUUGCCCCGAGAUGAGUUCUCCCUGAGACUU
rnacentral:rRNA from 1 species